rnacentral:rRNA from 1 species
CCUACGGGUGGCAGCAGUGGGGAAUAUUGGGCAAUGGAGGAAACUCUGACCCAGCAACGCCGCGUGAAUGAUGAAGGUCUUCGGAGUGGAAAGUUCUUUUCUAAGGGAAGAAGAAAGUGACGGUACCGUAGGAAUAAGCGUCGGCUAACUACGUGCCAGCAGCCGCGGUAAGACGUAGGAGGCGAGCGUUAGACGGAAUGACGGGGCGUAACGGGUGCGUGGGUGGUUUGGCAAGUUAGUAGCGUAACUCCAAGGCUCCACCUUGGAACUACUACUCAAACUGUUGGACUUGAGUGCAGGAGGGGCAACCGGAAUUCCUAGUGUAGCGGUGGAAUGCGUAGAUAUUAGGA